AACGUAGGAGACAAACGUUAUCCGGAGUUACUGGGCGUAAAGGGCGUGUAGGUGGUUUCGUAAGUCUGGCGUGAAAUUUCUCGGCUUAACCGAGGCAGGUCGUCGGAUACUGCGGAACUUGAGGACGGUAGAGGCGUGUGGAAUUCCGGGUGUAGCGGUGGAAUGCGUAGAGAUCCGGAAGAACACCGGUGGCGAAGGCGGUCUGCUGGGCAGUAGCUGACACUGAGGCGCGACAGCGUGGGGAGCAAACAGG
rnacentral:rRNA from 1 species